AACGCACCUUGCGCUCCUUGGUAUUCCGAGGAGCAUGCCUGUUUGAGUGUCAUGAAACUCUCAACCUCCAACUUUCUUAAUAGUGGUUGGCGGCUUGGACUUGAGCGCUGCUGGUUUUUAUUAACCGGCUCGCUUGAAAUGAAUUAGCAGAUCCUUUUUGUAAUCGGUUCCACUCGACGUAAUAAGUAUUUCGCCGAGGACAUCUUAACGGAUGGCCGAGAUAAAGAAAGUCUUUAGAUCCGCUUCUAAUUCUUAGAUAACGCAAGUUACUAAACCCAUUUUAUGAUCUGGCCUCAAAUCAGGUAGGACUACCCGCUGAACUUAA
rnacentral:misc_RNA from 1 species